rnacentral:rRNA from 1 species
GUUGCCAUCAUUCAGUUGGGCACUCGUAGCGAGACUGCCGGUAAUAACCGGAGGAAGUGGGGAUGACGUCAAAUCAUCAUGCCCCUUAUGACCUGGGCUACACACGUGCUACAAUGGUUGGUACAACGAGUUGCGAGUCGGUGACGGCGAGCUAAUCUCUUAAAAGCCAAUCUCAGUUCGGAUUGUAGGCUGCAACUCGCCUACAUGAAGUCGGAAUCGCUAGUAAUCGCGGAUCAGCACGCCGCGGUGAAUACGUUCCCGGGCCUU